CAAGCUGCUGCCUGGCAGGUCCCCGUACCCAGGCUAGGGAAGUUUGUUAUUUCUCCUGCUCCGACUUCCCCCUUUGAUUUAUUAUAGCCAUGAAAUGCUCUGCUCUCUUCUCUUUUCCUUGCUGUACCCCGGGGUUGGAGGAACACAGGCCUCCCCAGGCCCCAGGAUUCAGCCUUACUGGACUACCAUCUCUUUCCAAGGGCAGGGCAUGGGGACCAGGAAUGAGAGGCCCUGGAAGCCACCACACAUCUACAGUUUGUCAUCUCUUUGUCCCUGCUGUGUGGGCAGGAAGAUUCCCGCCUCUUCUGGUCACCUGGCAGCUAGAGAACCCAACAGUCCCAGUUAGAGCAGAGAAAGAUGGCUGAACAGAGCUGUACGAGCCUCUGACCGUGGCAUCCGGGAAGCAGAAACAGAAGACCUGUAAGUUCAAGGCCAGAAAAAAAAAAAAAAAAGAAUAAAGAAAGAAUAACCCAGAUCGAUAAGGACCUGGUUAUAGAAACCGUGACCACGAGACACUAUCCAGCAACGACAAGAACCACAGCAACAUGCAUCCACACGGGCCACAGGGGCGAUACCCAAGUUCCUGCAAGUUUCCUCUAUCAUUUUCUGUUAUGAAAAUAAAUUAGAAAGCCAGUCUAGGUUAGAGAGGGAGUUCCAGGCUAACCAGACCGGCAUGGGUCAAUUGUAAGUAAGCGAGUACAUUAAAUAAAUAAAAGCGAAGAACUAGAAUGUACAUCUAGACACGUUUAUAAGGAAGAGCAGACAGGGCUGUAGCUGAGUCUUGGCCGGUACUCGCGAGACCUUUAUUUCAAUCCCCAGUACCACAAAGAAGCAGGACUGAGGGACAGGCUGGGAAUCCCAGCUUCUGGAGAAAAUGAGAUGAGUGUGUGUCUGGGGGUGGGCAGGAAGUUCCAGACCUGCUGGGCAAUUCAGUGACAUUUUGUUUCAUAUUAAACUGUAAAGGGAAGCCAGGAAGAUACAACUCAGUGGUAGAGCACUUGCCUGCCUUAUGUGAGGCCCUGGGUUCAGCCUCAGUGCAAGACAGAAAGAAAAAUCAAGGAAAUAAAGUUAGGGUACAGUUCCUUCUAGAAGGAAAUGAGGGGAGGGCACCUAGGGCUUGCUUCAACCUGGGCUUCUCUCUCCUGGCUUUCUUUAACAGCUCCAUUCCCAGACCUGAUGUUCAUGUCUUCGCCCGGGUAAUUAUGUCCCAGGUGUUAACCCCACAGUUAUUUUUCGCCGCCCCUACGUAUGUUCUGUACUCUGUUUUAUGAAUGGUGUCCCAUGGUCUGCAGAUACACAGCCGGACGGGGAGACACACAUUCAGUGCCUCGCUGCUGGGUUUGUUCUUUUCUGUUUUUCAGUACCUGGGAAUCAAACUCGUGGCCUUGCGCUUGUUAGGGAAGCACUCUAAACACUGGGGUACAUCUUCAGCUGUAGUCCUUGCUACUUAUGAGAUUGAGGGUCACUCGAGCCCAGGAAUUUGGGGAUAACCAUCACAAGACACUAUCUCAAUAAAAUAAAUACGUUUUUUAUAUGUAUUUAGUGUGUGUGCAUCGUGGCCUGCGGUGAGGGCGUGCAUGCGAGCUAUGCACAUGUGCGGAGGUGAG
rnacentral:lncRNA from 1 species